AGGUGGCAGAGCCUGGCGAUUGCCUAAAACUUGAGAUUUUACAACUAGAGGUUCAACUCCUCUCCU
rnacentral:tRNA from 1 species